rnacentral:rRNA from 1 species
GAUGAACGCUGGCGGCGUGCCUAAUACAUGCAAGUCGAGCGAAUGGAUUAAGAGCUUGCUCUUAUGAAGUUAGCGGCGGACGGGUGAGUAACACGUGGGUAACCUGCCCAUAAGACUGGGAUAACUCCGGGAAACCGGGGCUAAUACCGGAUAAUAUUUUGAACUGCAUGGUUCAAAAUUGAAAGGCGGCUUCGGCUGUCACUUAUGGAUGGACCCGCGUCGCAUUAGCUAGUUGGUGAGGGAACGGCUACCCAAGGCAACGAUGCGUAGCCGACCUGAGAGGGGGAUCGGCCACACUGGGACUGAGACACGGCACAGACUCCUACGGGAGGCAGCAGUAGGGAAUCUUCCGCAAUGGACGAAAGUCUGACGGAGCAACGCCGCGUGAGUGAUGAAGGCUUUCGGGUCGUAAAACUCUGUUGUUAGGGAAGAACAAGUGCUAGUUGAAUAAGCUGGCACCUUGACGGUACCUAACCAGAAAGCCACGGCUAACUACGUGCCAGCCGCCGCAGUAA